rnacentral:rRNA from 1 species
UACGUAGGGGGCAAGCGUUGUCCGGAAUCAUUGGGCGUAAAGCGCGCGUAGGCGGCCCGGUAAGUCCGCUGUGAAAGUCAAAGGCUCAACCUUUGAAUGUCAGCGGAUACUGCCGGGCUAGAGUCCGGAAGAGGCGAGUGGAACUCCUGGUGUAGCGGUGGAAUGCGCAGAUAUCAGGAAGAACACCAACGGCGAAGGCAGCUCGCUGGAACGGAACUGACGCUAAGGCGCGAAAGCGUGGGGAGCGAACAGG